GAAYGUGCAUCGUGAUAGGGAUAGAUUAUUGCAAUUAUUAAUCUUGAACGAGGAAUUCCUAGUAAACGCAGUUCAUCAAACUGCAUUGAUUACGUCCCUGCCCUUUGUACACACCGCCCGUCGCACCUACCGAUUGAAUGGUCCGGUGAAGCYUCGGGAUUGUGACCAGUGCCUUUACUGGUGUUGGUUGCGAGAACUUGUCUAAGCCUUAUCAUUUAGAGGAAGGUGAAGUCGUAACAAGGUUUCCGUAGGUGAACCUGCGGAAGGAUCA
rnacentral:rRNA from 1 species